AAUCCGUGAUUGGGAUUGUUCUUUACUAAUCCUUUAAAGCGCUCCCAUGCGACACUUAAGGUUUCAAAUUCUUCCUGCUCGAAGUUCAUGAUCUCUUUUUGCCU